rnacentral:snRNA from 1 species
AUAUCCAUCACAGAUCUGUUCUUUUCAGUUUGUAAGUUUACCAACUCCGCCGACUACCCUUUCAGCAUCCUAACCUUUGUCCAGAAUCUCUGAAACGUGGCUACGGCCACUUCAAUGAUUAUACUUAUUUUUGGCCCUCGAUGGGUGGCCGCUGGGCUUGCCUAUGUCGCCUGUCACCGUGUCGCUGGUAUUGCACUACCUCCAGCUGACGCGAAAUCAC